rnacentral:rRNA from 1 species
UACGGAAGGCAGCAGUGGGGAAUAUUGCACAAUGGGCGAAAGCCUGAUGCAGCUAUGCCGCGUGUAUGAAGAAGGCCUUAGGGUUGUAAAGUACUUUCAUCGGGGAGGAAAAACAAAACUAAUAAUUUUAUUUCUUGACGUUACCCGAAAAAGAAGCACCGGCUAACUCCGUGCCAGCAGCCGCGGUAAUACGGAGGGUGCUAGCGUUAAUCAGAAUUACUGGGCGUAAAGAGCACGUAGGUGGUUUUUUUAAGUUCAGAUGUGAAAUCCCUGGGCUUAACCUAGGAACUGCAUUUUGAAACUGAAAUACUAGAGUAUCGUAGAGGGAGGUAGAAUUCUAGGUGUAGCGGUGAAAUGCGUAGAUAUCUGGAGGAAUACCUGUGGCGAAAGCGGCCUCCUAAACGAAUACUGACACUGAGGUGCGAAAGCGUGGGGAGCAAACAGGGAUAGAUACC